rnacentral:rRNA from 1 species
UACGUAGGUGACAAGCGUUGUCCGGAUUUAUUGGGCGUAAAGAGCGUGUAGGCGGCCAGGUAGGUCAGCUGUGAAAACUCGAGGCUCAACCUCGAGACGUCGGUUGAAACCACCUGGCUAGAGUCCGGAAGAGGAGAGUGGAAUUCCUGGUGUAGCGGUGAAAUGCGCAGAUAUCAGGAAGAACACCCGUGGCGAAGGCGGCUCUCUGGGACGGUACUGACGCUGAGACGCGAAAGCCAGGGGAGCAAACGGG